rnacentral:misc_RNA from 1 species
AAGUCGUAACAAGGUUUCCGUAGGUGAACCUGCGGAAGGAUCAUUAACACGUAUCCAACGUUAAACCCCCUGUGAAUUUUAAGUCCUGCUCCGGAAUCUUUUCAACAGCAAUCCCAGUAAAUCAUUGUUGAACAGUUUUGAUUUGGGACCUCUGUUGAGGAGUGAACGUUGAGACGGUUGAGAUAGGGGCAUGGCUUCCCGAAUCAAUCAUCAAAUGAAAGCGUUGGUGAUUGUGUAAGGAUAACGCUUCUCGGUCGCUGGAGGCCCACACGGCCGGCGGACAUGCCUCACGCAGGUGCAAAAAACGAACAACUGUUAACAAUGGAUAUCUUGGUUCUC